rnacentral:miRNA from 1 species
UGGCUUCUCUUGCACACCCAG